AUUGAACGCUGGCGGCAGGCCUAACACAUGCAAGUCGAACGGUAACAGGAAGAAGCUUGCUUCUUUGCUGACGAGUGGCGGACGGGUGAGUAAUGUCUGGGAAACUGCCUGAUGGAGGGGGAUAACUACUGGAAACGGUAGCCAAUACCGCAUAACGUCGCAAGACCAAAGAGGGGGACCUUCGGGCCUCUUGCCAUCGGAUGUGCCCAGAUGGGAUUAGCUAGUAGGUGGGGUAACGGCUCACCAAGGCGACGAUCACUAGCUGGUCUGAGAGGACGACCAGCCACACUGGAACUGAGACACGGUCCAGACUCCUACGGGAGGCAGCAGUGGGGAAUAUUGCACAAUGGGCGCAAGCCUGAUGCAGCCAUGCCGCGUGUAUGAAGAAGGCCUUCGGGUUGUAAAGUACUUUCGGCGGGGAGGAAGGGAGUGAGGUUAAUACCUUUGCUCAUUGACGUUACCCGCAGAAGAAGCACCGGCUAACUCCGUG
rnacentral:rRNA from 1 species